rnacentral:sRNA from 1 species
UCUUCGGCUUCCGGUCAACGACGAACGGC